UACGUAGGGGGCAAGCGUUGUCCGGAUUUAUUGGGCGUAAAGAGCGUGUAGGCGGCCAAGCAGGUCAGCUGUGAAAACUCGAGGCUCAACCUCGAGACGUCGGUUGAAACCGCUUGGCUAGAGUCCGGAAGGGGAGAGUGGAAUUCCCGGUGUAGCGGUGAAAUGCGCAGAUAUCGGGAAGAACACCCGUGGCGAAGGCGGCUCUCUGGGACGGUACUGACGCUGAGACGCGAAAGCGUGGGGAGCGAACAGG
rnacentral:rRNA from 1 species